GACGAACGCUGGCGGCGCGCCUAACACAUGCAAGUCGAACGAAGAGUAUUGCUUGAAGCCUUCGGGUGGAAAAUAAUAUUUCUUAGUGGCGAACGGGUGAGUAACACGUGAGUAACCUGCCUUUCAGAGGGGGACAACAUUUGGAAACGAAUGCUAAUACCGCAUAAGACCACACUACCACAUGGUAGAGUGGCCAAAGGAGCAAUCCGCUGAAAGAUGGACUCGCGUCCGAUUAGCUAGAUGGUGAGGUAACGGCCCACCAAGGCAACGAUGGGUAACCGGCCUGAGAGGGUGAACGGUCACACUGGAACUGAGACACGGUCCAGACUCCUACGGGAGGCAGCAGUGGGGAAUCUUGCACAAUGGAGGAAACUCUGAUGCAGCGACGCCGCGUGAAUGAUGAAUGUCUUCGGAUAGUAAAGUUCUGUCCUUGGGGAAGAUAAUGACGGUACCCAAGGAGGAAGCCCCGGCUAACUACGUGCUAGCAGCAGCCGCCGC
rnacentral:rRNA from 2 species